rnacentral:rRNA from 1 species
AGCGAACGCUGGCGGCAGGCCUAACACAUGCAAGUCGAACGAACCUUUCGGGGUUAGUGGCGGACGGGUGAGUAACACGUGGGAACGUGCCUUUAGGUUCGGAACAACUCAGGGAAACUUGUGCUAAUACCGAAUGUGCCCUUCGGGGGAAAGAUUUCUUGCCUUUAGAGCGGCCCGCGUCUGAUUAGCUAGUUGGUUGAGGUAAUGGCUCACCAAGGCGACGAUCAGUAGCUGGUCUGAGAGGAUGAUCAGCCACAUUGGGACUGAGACACGGCCCAAACUCCUACGGGAGGCAGCAGUGGGGAAUCUUGCGCAAUGGGCGAAAGCCUGACGCAGCCAUGCCGCGUGAAUGAUGAAGGUCUUAGGAUUGUAAAAUUCUUUCACCGGGGACGAUAAUGACGGUACCCGGAGAAGAAGCCCCGGCUAACUUCGUG